rnacentral:lncRNA from 1 species
AAUGUUUGCUUCAGAAAUCCAAUAUUUGUUUAUAAGUGGAUGGUAGAUUAAAAGUCCCAAAAUGAACUACCAUGAUGUUUUUCAUGUCAUAAAAUAGUAGAUUUGUGUACAGUUAUAAUCGCUAAGAUAUAUGAAAACUCCGUAAAUCAACGUGUUUUUAAUACUCCAUGUGAGUUUUAUAACCAUGCUAAUGACCCAGACUGCUUCUAACAACGUUCUUCAGGCGUUGGAAUGUUAUGACAUUUGUCACCCCAGCCCUGCCGGUCUAACUGUAGCUAACAGUUUAGGUGCGGGAUUGUCAAUCCCGUAUAGAUCUAUACACAAGUAUCACGCUCCCCCUACAAGGGAUUAUGGUAUAUAAUACAAGACUUAAUAAUGCAUACUCGAAAGUACGUGAAAUGUCUCACAACCUAGUAUAAAACAGAUUUACGUAUGAAAAUGUCCAUUUGUUCUUGUAUAUGAAAAUACCCCUUUGAUAUGGUACUUGUAGUAUGUAAAAUUUUAUGUAUAUCUAGUACACUAUCUGAUGUAAUCGUAUCUCUUGUAAUUGUAUGUCUUGAAAUUUAUAUGCCUUGUAAAUGUAUAUAAUCGUAUCUCCUUAUAUAGUAUGUAAUGCAUUAGUAUAGACUUAUAAAUAAACUGACUCUUAUGUGAUUCCUCGUACUUGGAAUGGUAAGUAGUAUAUCCUAACUAUACCUAUUAUAGUUACUAGUAGUGUAUGUGUAUAACCGAAAUAUGCCUUUGCUACCCAAAGGUACUGAACCAACUGAUGGAAAACUUUUAUGUUUAUAUCUGUAUACAUGAUAUAUAUAUAUAUACACACACACACACACACACACACACACANUUCAAUAAAUAAGAAAUGAUGACUGGAUGUCAGUUUAUAAAACGAUUUGAAAGUAGUUUGUUUGAUAAGAACAAUUUUGAGUAUAAGAAGACCUUUGUUUGAAAUACGAUUCUAACAGCGUUUGAAAGGAAACAUAAAGUAUGUAAGACAGUUUGAUAAAGAGUUUUUAACAUGUAAAAAUGUUUGUCGUAACCUAUUAUAGUUUUUCCAAAAGUUUGUUUCGUUUGUAUAGUAAACCCUAGUGUGAUGCUCACUUGUUAUGUAAUGUGUGACUUUUUGUGGUGACAUAAAUGAACAUAUAUACUCAAGGUAUAAAUAAAGUGUUUGAUUCGUAUAUAACAACAUAUUUAAUUUCAACAGAUAAGAUGAUAUCGUGAUAUAUUUUGCGUACGAAGGAUUCCAUAUAGUGGUUAUGAAUCACAUAUGAUUUUCUUGAUAAAAAUGAGUAUUUAGUGAAAUCUUGGGUUACACACGAUAAAAAUCGUGUGUUUACUUGUAUUCCCCCCCUUAAAAGUGUAUAUAUAAAGUAUUGAUAACACAUUUAAAAAUGUAGUUUAUAGGGGUAUGAACUCACCGAAGAAAGUGCAUGAUUUGAAGAAAACGAGAUUUUCCCGUGCGGCACCUCGACCGGAAAGUGACGAGAUUCUCAGGAAUCUCGGGGCUUCGGACCUUCGUCGGGGCUUAGAUAUGAAACCGGGAAGUCGGGAUGUUGUCGGCACGAAAAACGAGGCGAAAAUGUGAGAGAAAUGAAGGAUUUUAGUGAAAACAACCGGCACCCUCGCAAUCUAUUUAUAGGAGCUGGAGGUCCUCGGUACGCUGGGUGUACUUCGGACUUACGCGGGGCGUUCCUCGUACGCGGGGCGUACUCCGAAGGUACGCGGGGCGUUCGCUUGCAUCACUGCUGACCGCAUCCUCAGAAGACGUGGGUGGCCGACGUGGAUGAUCCGGAGCCUAGUAUCCAAGUACGCUGGGCGUACGAGGGUACACAGGGCGUACUCCUUCGGAUAAGACUUUGAAGUGCGUGCCAAGAACUUCUAAAAUGCGUAACUUUCGCAUACGAGCUCCGUUUUUGACAUUCUUUAUAUCCACGCGAAGGUGAGAAAAUACUCCACAACUUUCAUUUAGACUCCGUCGGCUAAUUUUGACUUUAUUUUUAAUUAUAUUUUAAUUAAUAGGUCGGGACACGAUAUCCUCGUUAAAAAUCCAUAAUUUCUUCAUCCGACGUCCGUUUUCGUCAGACUUUUUAUUGUUAUACUCCUAUUGUCGGGCUCUCCAACUUUUGUUUAGGUNAAUCUACGACUAUCAUUUAGAUACCUAAGGCUAAAUGUUAUUGUAUUGAAACUUCGCGUUUUUCGCUUAAUCGGUGUUGCCUGGUUUUGCCGAGAAUCUUCGGUUGGUCAUAACUUCUCCGUUAUAACUCGGAUUUUAGUGUUCUUUAUAUGUACGAAAACCUUGAUACGAUUCCUACCACUUUAUUUAACCCAAAUACGAUUUUAGGAAAGUUAAAUUUUGGCUUAAGUUUGACUGGUGUUACAUUUUAUUGUCUCAAAAUGUCGGGUUGUCACAUCAUCCCCCUGUUAGAGGGAAUUUCGUCCCGAAAUUCGAGUGUAAGAAGAAUUAAUGAUCAUGCUACGGAUAGAAGUUUUAUUUGCUUCUCGUGUUCUUAGGUGAACUCUGGUCCUCGCUUGGCAUUCCAGCGAAUCUUUCACUAUCGGGAUACGACUUUGCUUCUGUCGUUUGACUUUUCUGGGGUGAUAACUCUUCUUGGUCGAAUGUAUGUUGAAUGUUUUUGUGGUCUGUGAACAUAGUACACCUUGUACCCUACAAAUAGUGUCUCUAGAUCUUCAGAGCAAUCCCCGCUGCUCCUGAAUCAGGGUCAUGUGUUGAACAGUCAAACUCCUGUGUCUUAAGCUGUCUUGAGGUAUAAAAAGUGAUCUUUCCUCUUGCAUAAGAACACAACCAAACCCUUGGUUAGAUGCAUCACAUUACAUCACGAAAUAUUCUAUUCCUUUUUGGGAGGGAUAAUAUUGGUGCGAUGCAUCAGACUUACUUUAGCGUUUGGAACACUCUUUCUUGUUUACAGACAAUUACGGUGCUCUUCCAAGUGAGAACUUGUCCUAAAGAAUCCCCUCCUGAGGAGUUUCCUAAGCCCGCUAGGAAGUUCUCGCAUCUCGGUUGGAGCUAGACAAUAAGGUGAUUUGGCUACUAGGGUAGCCCCUGGAACUAAGUCGAUUCUGAAUUCGACUUGAUGCUGUGUUGGUACUCUCGGUAGUCCUUCUGGAAAGGUGUCGGGAAAACAGCGUACUUCUUGGAUGUUUUUGAAUGUUCUUCACUUCUCGACACAUCUCGGUGAUGUGUGCAAGGAAUACAUGAUAUUCCUUUCGUAAUCAUUUCUGAGCUUGCAUACACGAAAAGAUGAGAGGGUUCGUACUUGGUUUGUCGCUGUAAAUAACUAGAGCUUCGUCGUUUAGGGAGGUUAGGACGAACUGCUUUAUCAAAGCACCUGAUGUGGGGUCAAUGUAGACUUAACCAACUCUUACUGAUCAUGAUGUUGAAACCUUGGGGUGGAUUACCUGUCGUGAAGAUCUAAAAGGAGUAUGAGUACUUAUGAAUUAGGGGAAAAGGAUAGGUAUUUCUAAGUUUAUUCUUACGGAAGCACGAUCACUCGCGGUCUUGGGCAGUCUCCGUCCUGAAGUUCAUAGUAGAACUCAUACCAGGUUCAUCUAUCAUAGUCUCGAGUAUAAGAGUCGUUUAUAAUUAAGAUUGAAAAGGUAGUCAAAUAAAUGAUUCUUCUUUAAGCCCACAUCCCAACGAGGAAAAGAAGUUAAAGUGGAAUCAUCAAUUCUAAACCUGUAGAACCUUGAUUAUAUACCACCCCUAUGUAUACAUUCUUCAGCGAUAGAUCGACCGUAUGGGUCUUUAGAUUGAACUUGACGUACUGUACGAGUGAUACUUCGGGGAGGUUUUCUGAGGUUUCUUUGGAAAGGAUAAGAAACAUGAGGUACUCCAUGCAUGAGUACUUCGGUGUUCUGGAAUGACGGUUUCGCUAGAAAGACGUUUUCGGAGAAGGAGAAGUACGCACGAAGCUGGUAUUGCGAGGAUCGAAUUGAGUCAACUUGUAUGAUGAUAUCGGAAUUACUUGGAAAUAGAGGUAUUAGAUUUGAUCAUAAAGUUGUUACAGAUAAAACACAACAGUGCAACUUUUAACAGAGUUACAGUACUUUGGUUUUACUACAAGACUAUUGUUACGAACAGGGUAUAGUACGAAAGGCAAAAAUACGCAGCACGAGCAUCCCUAUACCGACGUGAUCCCGCAAAAGAUAAGACUUUGAUUGCGCUAGUUUUGGAUGGUUUAUAAGUCUGUUACAAUGAAACGCCUAAUAUCACGUUAACGUGGGUUCGGAGUAGGUUCUCCUGCAGCCGUGAUCCUGAGAAUCCUACCGUCUGCUCCAGAGUUCUUUGUUAUAGUUGGGUCCUUUAUUGCCUUUUUCCAUUCUGAGGUCAAACUCCUCCUGUUCCACUGUCAUUCUUCUCUGUUGGGCAAUCCCUCUUGAAGUGUCCCAUUAAACCACCAAGAUGGCAUAUCCGAUAAAUUUCGACAUUGGUGGUUAAAGUAAUGUGUUUGACCCGAGUCCUGCAGAAGCGGGUAGUGUGUCCGUUCUUGUUGCAGGUCUUGCAGUGUAACAGACGACAACUACCUAAGUGAUGGAAGUUGCACUUAUUGCAAUUCGGUAGGUUUCCAGCAUACUGUCUGGCCGGGUUAGGGAUAAUUGGGAUACUUGUAGUGUUGGUGAUAGGAGUUACAGAUGUCGUGGCUGCGAAGGCUGCCACCGGUGAUGGUUUCUUGUUUGUCCCUCGAGGUGAUUUGCCUUUAACUCUAUCCCAUAAUUUUCAUUUGUUGCUCUUUGGUUUGAGAUUCUGAGUGUCGUGGUAGUUUGUUACUCGUGGGUGUACUUGGUUGUUACUUGGGUUGGAAUUAUUGAAAACCAUCCUGCUAACAUUUGCGUUGUUAACGUUAAGGUGAUUCAGAACAGAUGUUACGGCAGCUGAGACUACAGCUUGAAAGGUAGCUGUAUCAAUCUGAAGAGUUGGUGUUGGGGUGAUGAGUUGAUUACUUUUCAUCGGCGACAUGAUUCUGUAACACGAAGGAUAACGGAGUUCGUGAGAUAUUAUGGUUGAACCUAGAUGUAUUUCGAUCGCUUUAAGUAAAGAGUAAGAGUAUGUUCUCGAAAGUUUGACCUACAUCCCUAUGAUGCAGUCCUAGUACAGUGUAGAAGUAUGUUUGUAGAAUGAUCUUAAGACGUUUGUUGUUCAAGCUGAGGUAUCGUUAGUUGGUGAAUAACAUGAUCUUACCACUACAGAUACAUGGAAAUGUUUUCGGAGUUAAAUUACUAUAGUUUGCUGACUUGACUAAAGCAUGUUUUCGGAUAGGCUCUAACGAAGGUAUGAUGGGGGGGUUUUGAACAAAGAGCGACACGGGAGUUAGCUGAUUGUCAAUAUCAUCGAUGUUUAAGAUGGAAUAAGUUUAGGAAAAUUUUAUCUUGAAGAAGGUCUUACAUCAUAUCAUGAGUAGAAAGGUUUUGGCCGCAUAAAGGCCUAACUAAUCAGUACUUGCAGUACAAGAUAGUUACACAGAAAAUGCUAUAUAGGACAUACACAGGAACAACGAUUCCUUUAAACAAGAAAGGGAAAAUAAAGCCUUUAUUACUGACGGCGGUCAUCCCUCUGGUGAACUCUCAGUUCAGCCAAUUGACGUUCCAUUAUUAAGAGGGUGUCUUUCGUACACUUUUGGGCAUACUCAUACCUCUAUGACUCCGGCUCGUGUUUUAGCUAUUGCUUGCAGCAGGGUCUCAUGGUCUCUCUCAGAUCUCUCACGAGUGUUUUCAAGAUGAUUGGUGUAGAUGGUGUGUAUUCUUGCGUUGGUAAUUAACCUCUUUGAUACAAUGGAGAGUCGUCCUGCUUUGAAUUUCGUUUCGAUCAACUCUACGGAUCAGGAUUGGUAGAACUUUGUCUGCUGAGCUCCCUUCGCUUAAGUUGUAGCAGCUUCGAUCUCCUUUUGACGACAUAGGUUGAUCUUGCUCUGCGCCCCAUGUUUCUAGGCAUUCUACCCAAGGAGGCGUCGAGCCAUGAAGAGCUGGACGAGGGUUAGGGUUUGAAUUCGGAGCUACCGAGGGUAGGUUCUUAUAUUCGAGUUCAGAGUUAUCAUCAUCCGAAGGGUCUUCAAUAUGGUGACCAUUCAAAAGGGAUUGGAUGAUCAUUCUCUGGUUCUUCUCUGAACCAUCCAGCAUUGCCUUUGUUCGGGAAGUACGGUUCGUCGUGGGGAUGGGGUCCAGCUAUGUUAUCUAUGCGGUAAUUGGGGUAUAAGAAUCUAACACAUAAGUAGUUUAUAGUAAUACACGAAAUACUCCUAUAGUAUUUUAGGUUUAUGUUCUAUUGUUCUCAUUGCGGUAUUGUGGGUAAGUUUUUAGACUUGUUGCAGCUCACAACCACACUUAGGCACAUGCUAGUCAACCCUCAGAUAAUAUAGUUGAUCAAGCUAUAUCAUCCCAGUUUUAACUAUAUGUCUCUAAGUCUAAUUGUGCUGCCCAACAAUCGUAAUACUUUUGCUCCGUCCUAGUGAUACUGAUUUUAGUAUGAAUGCAGGCACGUAUACUUACUUAAAUAUUUUAUUAUUUAAAAGUAUAGAAUCUUUAUCAGAGUAUUUUAAUCCCUAUUGUAUUUAUAGUUUGUAUAUCUUUUAUGGGUUGAUAUAAUCGAUUCACUAUAAACAAUGCUCUGAUACCAAUCUGUCACACCCCAAAACCGAGAACGGCGGAAACGUUCUGGGGCGGAGGACGUCAUGUAAUGUAUCACAACAAUGCAAAGUAGUAAACAAGCAACAACAUCAUCCAUUGCAUUAAUAGUAUAAUUUUAAUUACAUUUGAGUUCUUUCAUAGUAUAAUUCUACAAAAAUGAAUAUUCAAAAAUAAAAGACGAGUCUUGAUCGCUCCGUCUUCACAGAACCUGGUAGUCGUACCUGUCUAUCCGUAUCCUGGGAAUACAAGUUAUUUUGAAAGCGAGUAUCAGCAAUAAUGCUGGUGAAUUCAUAAGUAUUUAUGUGACUUUGAUUUGUAAAGCUGUAAAGAAAGACCUGUAAAUGUUUGAAGGAAAGUUUGUACCAACGAAUAUGUUUGUAAGUAAUUGUAAACGUUUGAAAAUCCUAGAAAAUCCCAUAUUUUCUACUAGUAUAAAAUGUAGCCUUCUACCAAGACUCGACUGUUUUGAAUGUUUGCUUCAGAAAUCCAAUAUUUGUUUAUAAGUGGAUGGUAGAUUAAAAGUCCCAAAAUGAACUACCAUAAUGUUUUUCAUGUCUAAAAUAGUAGAUUUGUGUACAGUUAUAAUCGCUAAGGUAUAUGAUAACUCCGUAAAUCAACGUGUUUUUAAUACUCCAUGUGAGUUUUAUAACCAUGCUAAUGACCCAGACUGCCUGUAACAACGUUCUUCAGGCGUUGGAAUGUUAUGACAUUUGUCACCCCAGACCUGCCGGUCUAACUGUAGCUAACAGUUUAGGUGCGGGAUUGUCAAUCCCGUAUAGAUCUAUACACAAGUAUCACGCUCCCCCUACAAGGGAUUAUGGUAUAUAAUACAGGACUUAAUAAUGCAUACUCGAAAGUACGUGAAAAGUCUCACAACCUAGUAUAAAACAGAUUUACGUAUGAAAAUGUCCAUUUGUUCUUGUAUAUGAAAAUACCCCUUUGAUAUGGUACUUGUAGUAUGUAAAAUUUUAUGCAUAUAUAGUACACUAUCUGAUGUAAUCGUAUCUCUUGAAAUUGUAUGUCUUGAAAUUUUUAUGCCUUGUAAUUGUAUAUAAUCAUAUCUCCUUAUAUAGUAUGUAAGGUAUUAGUAUAGACUUAUAAAUAAACCGACUCUUGUGUGAUUCCUCGUACUUGGAAUGGUAAGUAGUAUAUCCUAACUAUACCUAUUAUAGUUACUAGUAGUGUAUGUGUAUAACCGAAAUAUGUAUUUGCUACCCAAAGGUACUGAACCAACUGAUGGAAAACUUUUAUGUUUAUAU